UGUUAGCUCCAAACACUGUAAAGUUGAACACUUGGUCAGGUUCGGAAGGAAGCAGCCACAUCAGUUAAUACAGGUGUUAUGAUAAAGCUAACAGAA
rnacentral:SRP_RNA from 1 species